ensembl:lncRNA
CUAGCCACUACCUGGUCAUUAAACUAGCCACUACCUGGUCAUUAAACUAGCCACUACCUGGUCAUUAAACUAGCCACCACCUGGUCAUUAAACUAGCCCCCACCUGGUCAUUAAACUAGCCACUACCUGGUCAUUAAACUAGCCACUUCCUGGUCAUUUGUCGUGGAAAUGUCCUGUAUUACCAAAUCAUGAGAGAGCAAACCACACACAAGGUUAGGCCAGGACCAGGUACAUACAGGUCAGGACCAGGUACAUACAGGUCAGGUUAGGACCAGGUACAUACAGGUUAGGACCAGGUACAUACAGGUCAGGACCAGGUACAUACAGGUCAGGACCAGGUACAUACAGGUCAGGACCAGGUACAUACAGGUCAGGACCAGGUACAUACAGGUUAGGACCAGGUACAUACAGGUCAGGACCAGGUACAUACAGGUCAGGACCAGGUACAUAUAGGUCAGGACCAGGUACAUACAGGUCAGGACCAGGUACAUACAGGUCAGGUUAGGACCAGGUACAUACAGGUCAGGUCAGGACCAGGUACAUACAAGUCAGGUUAGGACCAGGUACAUACAGGUCAGGACCAGGUACAUACAGGUCAGGACCAGGUACAUACAGGUCAGGUCAGGACCAGGUACAUACAGGUCAGGACCAGGUACAUACAGGUCAGGUUAGGACCAGGUACAUACAGGUCAGGUCAGGACCAGGUACAUACAGGUCAGGUUAGGACCAGGUACAUACAGGUCAGGUCAGGACCAGGUACAUACAGGUCAGGUUAGGACCAGGUACAUACAGGUCAGGACCAGGUACAUACAGGUUAGGACCAGGUACAUACAGGUCAGGACCAGGUACAUGCAGGUCAGGUCAGGACCAGGUACAUACAGGUCAGGACCAGGUACAUACAGGUCAGGACCAGGUACAUACAGGUCAGGUCAGGACCAGGUACAUACAGGUCAGGACCAGGUACAUACAGGUCAGGUCAGGACCAGGUACAUACAGGUCAGGACCAGGUACAUACAGGUCAGGACCAGGUACAUACAGGUCAGGACCAGGUACAUACAGGUUAGGACCAGGUACAUACAGGUCAGGACCAGGUACAUACAGGUCAGGACCAGGUACAUACAGUUCAGGUCAGGACCAGGUACAUACAGGUCAGGACCAGGUACAUACAGGUCAGGUUAGGACCAGGUACAUACAGGUCAGGUUAGGACCAGGUACAUACAGGUCAGGACCAGGUACAUACAGGUCAGGUUAGGACCAGGUACAUACAGGUCAGGUCAGGACCAGGUACAUACAGGUCAGGUCAGGACCAGGUACAUACAGGUCAGGUCAGGACCAGGUACAUACAGGUUAGGACCAGGUACAUACAGGUCAGGACCAGGUACAUGCAGGUCAGGUCAGGACCAGGUACAUACAGAUCAGGACCAGGUACAUACAGGUCAGGACCAGGUACAUACAGGUCAGGUCAGGACCAGGUACAUACAGGUCAGGACCAGGUACAUACAGGUCAGGUCAGGACCAGGUACAUACAGGUCAGGACCAGGUACAUACAGGUCAGGACCAGGUACAUACAGGUCAGGACCAGGUACAUACAGGUUAGGACCAGGUACAUACAGGCCAGUACCAGGUACAUACAGGUCAGGACCAGGUACAUACAGGUCAGGUUAGGACCAGGUACAUACAGGUCAGGUUAGGACCAGGUACAUACAGGUCAGGUCAGGACCAGGUACAUACAGGUCAGGUUAGGACCAGGUACAUACAGGUCAGGUUAGGACCAGGUACAUACAGGUCAGGUCAGGACCAGGUACAUACAGGUCAGGACCAGGUACAUACAGGUCAGGACCAGGUACAUACAGGUCAGGACCAGGUACAUACAGGUCAGGUUAGGACCAGGUACAUGCAGGUCAGGACCAGGUACAUACAGGUCAGGUCAGGUCAGGACCAGGUACAUACAGGUCAGGACCAGGUACAUACAGGUCAGGUCAGGUUAGGACCAGGUACCAGUGGUAAACAGAUGGAACCACACACCAGACCGGCUGUAUGUUGACGUCAUGGAGAUAGCAUAGAGAUAGGUUGACAUUUAUGAUUGACAGAUGAAACAGACUGAAGUGGUUGUGCAGGUCAGGUACUGACGAACAGAUAGAAGCAUGUCUCAGCAGACCGUAUAGCGCCACUCAGGGUCAACCAGGGUUACCAUGACACAUUUAGGCCCAGUUCCCUCCUUUGACCUAUGACCUAUGCUUAAUCAGUGUCCAGGAAAACACUUAACACUUAUUGUCCCUGUUGACCCAAUACAAACAAAAUAAAUAAUAUAAAUAUUAAUGAAUAAUAAUGAAUAAAAGGUGUCUGGUCAACCGGUUAUGCCGUUUUGUUUUGAGGAACAAUAGGAGGUCCUUUCAUCCGUUGUCUUUCUCCGAUUGUACAUUAUGGUGUAAAUAAAUAAAACACACACACACACAACACAACAUAGCAGAAGCAUGUUUUUGUCUUUCAUCCUUCCUUCCUUCCUUCCUUUCAUCCUUCCUUCCUUCCAUCCUUCCUUCCUUCCUUUCAUCCUUCCUUCCAUCCUUCCUUCCUUUCAUCCUUCCUUCCAUCCUUCCUUCCUUUCAUCCUUCCUUCCUUCCAUCCUUCCUUCCUUCCUUCCAUCCAUCCUUCCUUCCUUCCUUCCAUCCUUCCUUCCUUCCAUCCAUCCUUCCUUUCAUCCUUCCUUCCAUCCUUCCUUCCAUCCAUCCUUCCUUCCUUCCUUCCAUCCUUCCAUCCUUCCAUCCUUCCUUCCUUUCAUCCUUCCUUCCUUUCAUCCUUCCUUCCAUCCUUCCAUCCUUCCUUCCUUUCAUCCUUCCUUCCUUUCAUCCUUCCUUCCUUCCAUCCUUCCUUCUUUCCACUCUCUCUUUCUCUUCACUCCUUACCUUUUUGUAAUGGUCAACUGUAACCGUAGCAUAGAAGCGCUAGAAACAAACGAGGAAUGGAAUAGUACACAUGUACUGUAUGUAAAUCAUAUGUCUUGAUUGGCACUUUCCCUGG